rnacentral:rRNA from 1 species
AAGAAUCUGCCUAUUAGUGGGGGACAACAUUCCGAAAGGAAUGCUAAUACCGCAUACGCCCUACGGGGGAAAGCAGGGGAUCUUCGGACCUUGCGCUAAUAGAUGAGCCUAAGUCAGAUUAGCUAGUUGGUGGGGUAAAGGCCUACCAAGGCGACGAUCUGUAGCGGGUCUGAGAGGAUGAUCCGCCACACUGGGACUGAGACACGGCCCAGACUCCUACGGGAGGCAGCAGUGGGGAAUAUUGGACAAUGGGCGAAAGCCUGAUCCAGCCAUGCCGCGUGUGUGAAGAAGGCCUUUUGGUUGUAAAGCACUUUAAGCGAGGAGGAGGCUACUUGGAUUAAUACUCUAGGAUAGUGGACGUUACUCGCAGAAUAAGCACCGGCUAACUCUGUGCCAGCAGCCGCGGUAAUACAGAGGGUGCGAGCGUUAAUCGGAUUUACUGGGCGUAAAGCGUGCGUAGGCGGCUUUUUAAGUCGGAUGUGAAAUCCCUGAGCUUAACUUAGGAAUUGCAUUCGAUACUGGGAAGCUAGAGUAUGGGAGAGGAUGGUAGAAUUCCAGGUGUAGCGGUGAAAUGCGUAGAGAUCUGGAGGAAUACCGAUGGCGAAGGCAGCCAUCUGGCCUAAUACUGACGCUGAGGUACGAAAGCAUGGGGAGCAAACAGGAUUAGAUACCCUGGUAGUCCAUGCCGUAAACGAUGUCUACUAGCCGUUGGGGCCUUUGAGGCUUUAGUGGCGCAGCUAACGCGAUAAGUAGACCGCCUGGGGAGUACGGUCGCAAGACUAAAACUCAAAUGAAUUGACGGGGGCCCGCACAAGCGGUGGAGCAUGUGGUUUAAUUCGAUGCAACGCGAAGAACCUUACCUGGUCUUGACAUAGUAAGA